rnacentral:rRNA from 1 species
AGCGCAGGUGGGAAAGUAAGUCUGCUUUAAAAGUGCGGGGCUCAACCCCGUGAGGGAGUGGAAACUACUUUUCUUGAGUGCAGGAGAGGCAAGUGGAAUUCCCAGUGUAGCAGUGAAAUGCGUAGAUAUUGGGAGGAACACCAGUGGCGAAGGCGACUUGCUGGACUGCAACUGACGUUGGGAUGCGAAAGCUAGGGGAAGCAAACG